GUACAAGUCCUCAUGGCCCUUAUGGGUAGGGCUUCACACGUCAUACAAUGGUCGGUACAGAGGGUUGCCAAGCCGCGAGGCGGAGCCAAUCCCACAAAGCCGAUCGUAGUCCGGAUUGUUCUCUGCAACUCGAGAGCAUGAAGUCGGAAUCGCUAGUAAUCGCAGGUCAGCAUACUGCGGUGAAUACGUUCCCGGGUCUU
rnacentral:rRNA from 1 species